CAUACACACACUGGCAUUCAGACACCGGCAUACACACACACAUACACUGGCAUUCAUACACCAGCAUACACACACACAUACACUGGCAUACACACACGGGCAUUCAGACACUGGCAUACACACACAUACACUGGCAUUCAUACACCAGCAUACACACACACAUACACUGGCAUUCAUACACCAGCAUACACACACACAUACACUGGCAUACACACACGGGCAUUCAGACACUGGCAUUCAGACACCAGCAUACACACACACAUACACUGGCAUACACACA